rnacentral:rRNA from 1 species
AUGCAUGCUCUCCACAAAUUUCAACCCAUCGGCUGUAAUUACAAUGAUAUUUACGGAGUUAGUUGGCCUCUGAUCAAGAUCAAUAUUAUGCGUUAUCUCCAAAAUUUUGUUGUACGUAUAAACUAUCAGAGCCUCCAAUGCCAUCAAAUCAGCCACGGUGAUCCUGCUCCUAAGUCUGAAGCUGCCCGCCACCCUGCCGACUUCAGGCCUAUUAACCUUGUUCACAGUUUCGGCAAGCUUGUUGCCAAUAGAGUGCAACCUCUGAUGCCCCUGCUAAUUGAGAACUACCAGAAUGUUGUCAUCAAGAGAAGAUGCAUCUAUGGUAACCUCGUCUGUGCGCAGGGAAUUGCAAAAUCUCUGCAUGAGGGCAAUCUCCUGAGCCUCCUUGUUAACCCUCAAAUAUCAAAGGCAUUCAAUUUCGUCUCCUGGGAGUUCCUUCUCCAACUUCUUGAAAUUCAGAGGGUUCAGCCUUUGCUGGAGAAACUGGAUUGCAUGACUAUUAAU